UACGUAGGGGGCAAGCGUUACUCGGAAUCACUAGGCGUAAAGCGCAGGUAGGCGGUUUGGUAAGUCUGUUGUGAAAGCUCUCGGCUCAACCGGGAGAGGUCAACGGAAACUACCAGGCUGGAGUGUGGUAGAGGUAGCUGGAAUUCCCGGUGUAGCGGUGAAAUGCGUAGAUAUCGGGAGGAAUACCUAUGGCGAAAGCAGGCUACUGGACCAUCACUGACGCUGAUCUGCGAAAGCUAGGGGAGCAAACAGG
rnacentral:rRNA from 1 species